rnacentral:rRNA from 1 species
AUGAUGGAGGACUUUGGGAAGCAGUUCGAGGAGUUCGCUGGCGCGCAGGAUAUGGAUUCUAUUGUUGAAACAAUGAUGAAACAACUUCUUUCCAAGGAGAUUCUUUACGAACCCAUGAAGGACAUUGUAGAGAAGUACCCAAAAUGGCUGGAGGAUAACAAAAGCAAGAUAAGCAAAGAGAAUAUGAACGUUACAGCAGUCUAUGAACAUGAGCCUGAGAAUAUGAUCAUGCAAAACAUGCAAGAAUGUGGUCAGGCCCCCAGUGAUCUUGUUCAAGAUAUUGUUCCGGAUCUGGAUCUGAGCAAAUUGGGACAACUAUCUCCUGAGAUGCUUGAAUCAACAGAAAAUUGCUGCAUAAUGUGA